rnacentral:lncRNA from 1 species
CUGUCGUCAAAAGUUCGUCUCUUCUGUUCUGUAGAUAAACUAGUAGCGCAUGAGACUAUAUGGGGAUGCGGCGAUACUUUUACAUGUUACUAAAUGCUUGACUGCUGCUACUACUUAGAGUAUAUAUUACUACAAUCUCAGGUGCACAUCGGUGCCCGAUCUUUCUUCUAAUUGGCAUCUUUGAGCUUCUUCUGCUGUGAUUUCCCUGCAUUAGAAUCUGGUGGCUCUGAAUAAUUAGCUAGCGUCAGAAGAUGCAAUAAGCAUGAGCACCUGAUAAAUAAUGUGUUUGAGCAUGAGCAUCUUUACCGUGCAGCAUUGACUAGAUCUAUAUGUGAUUUCAUCAACGAGAGAGCUGGGCAAGCUCUUCUUGCUGUACAGGCCUGCAAGUAUGUGAUUUUGUCAUUUCAAAUGCAUGAACAAUAUGUCAAAAGUAAGAUGUGCUCAUGGAUGCUCUGUAGGAUGUGCUUUUCCCACUCAAAAUGAAGCUUGUCUACCUAGUUAUCAGCCUGUUUUUUUUUUUUUUUGUUAUGGUAAAACUUUGUUCAUCUGAUGAGGUAAAAAAACUAUAAAGAAUCUGUGAGGCUAGAUAGUGUGAAUGACUAAUGUUGCUGAUUGUGCAUAACCAUGCUUCAGUCAAAGUGAAUGGUCAAAAACAUGUUUACAAAGUACAUGACCAUGUAGCAGUCAAUUUUCUGAUCUUGCUGCAAAACUCUGAUUCAAUAAUUUAACCCAACAUCUUGUCUACUGGAAAAUAUCCAUAUAGGCAUGGCUGAAUUUAUUUUCUGUUGUUUAAAAUGCAUGAAGAAAUGUAAACAGUUCAUAGAAGUAGUUCUGAGGAGCAUGAAAAAAUCAUGUGAUGGGUCUGGAUUGGCACUCUAGUGAUUGUCCAGUAUGUGCUAAGUUAGCGCGAGUAUUCCCACUUGCAGUGCUUGAAGUGAAAAUGAAUAAGAACUAUAUGCACAAUGGAUACCGUGUUUCAGUAAAAGUGUGAAUGACAAUAAAGAAUCUGUGAGGCUAGAUAGUGUGAAUGACUAAUGUUGCUGAUUGUGCAUAACCAUGUUUCAGUCAAAGUGAAUGGUCAAAAACAUGUUUACAAAGUGCAUGACCAUGUAGUAGUCAAUUUUCUGAUCUUGCUGCAAAACUCUGAUUCAAUAAUUUGACCCAACUUAUCUUGUCUACUGGAAAAUAUCCAUAUAGGCAUGGCUGAAUUUAUUUUCUGUUGUUUGAAAUGCAUGAAAUAAUGCCAACAGUUCAUAGAAGUAGUUCUGAGGAGCAUGAAAAAAACAUGUGAUAGGUCUGGAUUGGCACUAGUGAUUGUCCAGUAUGUGCUGAGUUAGCGCGAGUAUUCCCACUUGCAGUGCUUGAAGUGAAAAUUAAGAAGAAUUAUAUGCACAAUGGAUACCGUGUAGGUUGGGAUACUUACUAUUGAGGUAGCUAACACCCCAACAGUCAAGGGACCUAUUUACCCACCAGAAGUCUGUUCCAUUGGUUUAUGUACGCAAACCUGUUGCUUGUAACAAAAGGAAUACUAAUAAAGUGUAAAACAGAGAUUCCAUUGCAUUACCAGGCUUUCAGCAAAGUACCACACAAUGGUCAUCGUGUAGUCAUCGAUAGAAUAAUUGUUCAAAAAAACAUGUAUAUACUUGCUCUUAGAGCCUCUUCGAUUCACAAGAUUCUCAACAGGUACUAUGGAACGACCUCUAUCCCUAAAUAUUGAGUACUACUACCUCUGUCCCUAAAUAUUGAGUACCACUACCUCUGUCCCUAAAUAUAAGACGUUUUUGCAGUUCAAUUUGAACUGCAAGAACGUCUUAUAUUUAGGGACAGAGGGAGUAUAUGGAACUGAAAAGGUGUUUGCUUAUGUGUAAGAAAAACGAAAUAUUCUUUCCAAGAGAUGAGGCCGAUGGAAAUUUUCCUAAAAUCUAGUACUACAAAUAAAUCCUAUGGCCCAGUUUGGAAUGUGCGUAAAAUUUAGUAUGGUUUGCUAAUGACCAUACAAAUUUUACACACAUUCAAACAGUCCUUGAGGGGAAAAUAAUAUGGUUUAGUAUUGCGAAUCAAACUUGCCAUGGGUAAAUUUCAAAAAUGAUUAAAAUCCUACAAUGAUCUUCUGAAGAAACACAUGAUUGUGAUCUCAUGUUCAAUCUAAACCUAUAGGAUGUUUUUUGCACCAGAGUUUGUUCCGCGCAUCAUUAAGACAAGAGCAAAGAAUAGAGUUGACAGAAAAAUGGUGAUAACGCGUGCAAAGUAAUCUUUCUGAAACUAUCUAUGAGAUUAAAUCAUGCAAAUCGAACAACCUACAAAAAAAUAUACCCAAGGGUUCUAAUCCUCCGAAUUUACUAGAAAAAUCCUGUUGAAUCAAAUAGGCCCUAAGAGUCAGAUGCUCUUAUAUAUUUUGCAAUGACUCAAAUGAAACAAAAAAAACAUUUUAAUAGGUUUUAAAUCCAGCAUAUUUUUGCAAGACCUAUUAGUUGACCUGCAGGUAUCUAUAGUUGUCUUUUAGGCAUAUAUAUUAUUAUUUUGCUCUUACCCGAAUUUUUCUAUUCAAAUAGGCUUUAAAAUCAUACUCCCAUCGUAUAACGGAAGCAUGGCCUUUAGAUAUCUAAUGGGCUUUCAAAUUGUACUCCCGUCAUAUACGGAGAGAGUAGGAGAUCCAUAGGAGCUGCACACAAAAUACAUGCCAUGAGGCAAGUGAUUGUUUUAGCAACAGUGGGAAAAAAAUCCUCAACAGACAAGAAGGCUUUAGAGGCGGCCUCUACAGGCUACUGCAGUGGAGUGGUAAAGGGUGAGGCUGCCCUUGACUUUGUUCGGUCCACAGACAGACUACAGAUUGUUAUUACGAGCAGGCAUCAGAAAAAAGUGGCUGAGCUGAACUCAAAUGCGGUCAGGCUAAGUAUACAUAUACACACACUGCAAAAUACAGUGUGUCAAAACGGCAAGGCUUCUGUGCAAGUAUGAAGAUUUGGGAGCAAACUAGACACAACGGGAAAGUGGACCAUAAUACUGUACUGAUCUGAUCUGGAGAGAAGAAGAAAAAUGUAGGUGGCUUAUUAAGAAAUGCAUACUUUUCUUACUAAGAUUCUCAUGAAAGAAAAGCAUCACUGAAGGACAUAAUGAAUAGGCCAUGUGUAUGUGUACUGUAUCCUGAUGCCAAUGCUAUAUUUUUAACCAAAAUUCCCAGUGACUAGAUUACCCAUUAUCUACAUCCAAGAUUAUUUCGCAACCUUUUUACAGCUGACGGGUAGAAAUAAUUAC